UACGUAGGGGGCAAGCGUUGUCCGGAAUCAUUGGGCGUAAAGCGCGUGUAGGCGGUCUGUCGCGUCUGCUGUGAAAAUCCGGGGCUCAACCCCGGACUUGCAGUGGGUACGGGCAGACUAGAGUGUGGUAGGGGAGACUGGAAUUCCUGGUGUAGCGGUGAAAUGCGCAGAUAUCAGGAGGAACACCGAUGGCGAAGGCAGGUCUCUGGGCCACUACUGACGCUGAGAAGCGAAAGCAUGGGGAGCGAACAGG
rnacentral:rRNA from 1 species